GUAACACUUGUCUAUAUGUAUUUAAUUUUCUCCGAUCCAAUGCAAUGCCGUUGUACAUGAUUUUCAAUUUUCGUAACUUAUUGAAUUUUUUUCCUGACUUAUAUCUUACAAAUUUAUAGGUAUAAAUGAGUAUGAUGAACCAAUAUUAUCACUUGAAGAAUCUCUUAUGGAUACCUUCAGAAUUGAUUAUCAUUAUCGUCAUCUCUUUUAUCUUCAAUCUGCAAUUAGGUAAGUAAUAUUUGUUAUAUAAAAGGUUUAUUUUAUUUUGUCAUACAACUUAAUAGUUUUUUUAAUUUAUUUUCUUUUAACAUAAACUUUACAUAUAUAGGAAUGGCGCAAAUGUUAAAGGAUAUUAUGUAUGGUCUUUGUUCGACAACUUUGAGUGGUCUUCAGGCUAUACAUCGCGAUUUGGAAUGAUUUUUGUGGACUACAAAAAUGAAUUAAAGAGAUACCAAAAACUCUCUGCAUUAUGGUUUAAGAAUUUUCUGAAGAGAAAAACCAGACUUUAUGCCUCUAGUAAAUAGUAUUGUGAAGUUAGUUUAUCAAAUGAUUAUAUUGGUAAAUUGAUUAUUGAUUUUUAUUUAUUAUUCUUUUAUUCAAAAGAGGUCCUAUUGGACUUAUUGGGGAAAUAGAGAUUUGUUAGAUUUUUUUUUUCUCUAAAGAGGUCCUAUCGGACUUAGAAGGAAAUAGAGAUAUAUUUGAUCAUUCUUUCAUUCUAAAGAGGUCCUAUUAGACUUAGAAGGGAAAUAGAGAUGUAGAUUUGUUGAUAGUUGCUGCUAAUGUUACAGUAAUAAGAAGGAAAGAAACGUUAUGAAUGUUAUGAUAAAUAUGUCAUUUACAAUUGAUUAUAUUUGUUUAUUUGCUGCAUCAGUGCAUCUUAUGUUCGGGGAUUUUGUGAAAUUUAACUACAGUACUAAACCUCACUUUCACUCUAUGAUCUUCCUCGAGUAGCUAGAAAAUAGAAAUAAAACGAACCCACGAACUAUAUAUUAGCACUACAUCAAUUAACCGAUAUUAUAGUAAAAAAACCAAAGAUAUUGACAGCUAUCAGCACUACAUUUAUCGGAUUUAAACAUAUAAGUAUAUCCCUACGAACACUGGCUAGCAUGCUAGCUCUUGCUUCCAGAUGUACAUCUGGAAGCAGAAGCAGUGGAGUCUUACAGAGAAAAAAAAACAAGUUUUCAGAAAUUGAUAAAGGAAAUUAAAAGAAAUAUAAUAAGAAUUCAGUUUAAAGAAUUAAAGAAAAUGAUUAAGUUGAGAAUAAUAAUUACAUGAAAACCGUAAAUUUAAUAAUAUGCAAAUUAACAGAUAUUUGAAGAGAAUAAUGAGGAAGAGGAAAAUGUAAUAUGCAAAUUAAAUUAAAGGUUGUUAUUAUAAAUUGAAAUAAAAAAAAUUGAUCAAAAAGUAAUGAAAAAAGAAUUGUAGAUUGUAAAAGGAAAAUUAUUUAAACGGGUAAUUGGAAACAUACACCCAACUCCCGGAAUUAGUAGUCAUUGAUGAAUGCGAUUGACACAUUAGGUCUUGGAAAGUUUUUGUGUAAGUGCUUCAACAGCUUCUAAUGAAUCACGGUGGUCCUGUGCAUACACCCGUAUCAUAAAUCGUUAUUUUCCCCCCAUCUAUCUUAAUUUAAAAUGACUGCUAUAAUUGUUCUGGGACGGCCUUAACCAUUUUGUCGCCAAUGCCAUUGAAGUCGUUCCUGGAAUCUUGGCUCCAUCCUGAGAUGUAUAAGUCUAGGGCAAAACAAUAAAUAUGAUCUUUUUUUAUAUUUAAGUAUUCGAAAUUAAAAAUAUAUGUUAUAUAAAAAUUCACAGUUUUAUAAAAAAUAAUAUAUUUUGUUACAUUAAAUGAUUAACAUAUAACUUUAAUAAAUCUAGAAAGAUAUAUCACAUUUUUUUAUUUAAUUUACUUUAAUGUUAUUAUUUUUAAUUCAAUUUAAUAAAAUAUAAAAUAUAAAUAUCUAUUUAUAAGGUGAGAUAAUUUUAGGUUGAAAAGAAACGAAUUUAUAUUACAUCCCGAUUGGAAUUUAUCAAAUUUGAGCAACUAUGAGAAAUCUAUCACAUUUAUUUUAAAUUUUUAAUUUAGUUAUAUAUUUAUAAAAUAUUGAUUUUAAAUUUAUAAUUUAAUUUUAUAUUUUGUGUCUUGAAAAAGUGAUUUAGUUUUAUCAUUAUCGUCUAUCAUCAAUAAAAUAUUAUUCAAUAUUAAAAUUUACAUACAUUUUCUUACCUUCUUUAUUAUAUUCUAACAUUUAAUUUCAUUUUAUUUAUAAUUUGAAUUUUUAUUUGUGUUUCUUAUUCUGUUAAAAAAAACAUUUAAAGUCUUUGACUCAGAUUCGUUCCAUAUUGAUAUGUCACAGCCAAUUAAACAUUCAUCUAAUAUGAACUUAUAAAGAUAAUACAUAAAAAACUAACAAACAAUUUGAUAAUAUUUUUUAAUCAUGAUACAUCUUAAUUUAAACUAAAAAAAGACUUGAAAUAAAUCAAUAAUUUUAAUUUAAUUAUAAAAAUAACAUAAAAUAAUAUAGAUAAAAUUAUUACUCUACCAUAUAAUUUCUUUUACCCCUUUUAGGUAAAUGAGGAGAAUGACAACAUAAGGAUAUGCCCAGGUGACAGGCUGGGAUGUUUCUUCAUUUUAAGUACCUAACAUAUUUUGAAUAAUCUUCAUAUAAUGGAGGAGAACAAUUGUUAGUAGCGUAACAUAAUUGGAAGCAAGAUACUCUUAACUAGAGAUGUUCGAGUUUUUAUAUGGUAUUGGUAGGUGGUUAAUUGUGAUUCAUGAGAGAAUGAUUAAAAAUCACAGAAAGCCUAGAUGGGGGGCCAUGGGGAGCCUUACAAAUGUCUAUGCCACUGCCUGCGAUCUUUUGUGGAAAUGUGGAAACCGACACGAGCAUGAUCACGAAAGCUUCUUGCGUCCUAAUAAGCCUUAAGAACUAAUAUUUCUGCACUAGGGGUUAUAUAAGUCUAGGAGCAUUAAUUUGAUCACUAUCAUUGCUAAGAACAUAAUCGAGGUUCUGGUUGGCUAGCUGAUGGGUCUGUGGUUAGAGGGCCAGGUGGUCCAGCCAGAUGUGAUUGGAGCCUAUUUUAUUUUCAUACGUGUCACUAGUUGCUUCCACGCAACUUCGUGUGAACAACAUUAUGGGCUUUCCCCUUUUCAAAAUACUGUUUUGUCUCUUUGACCAUACAAAUUAUUAAGAUCACAUGUGCGCUUAUUUUCUUGUUAAAAAAUGUCGUCUAAUUCGUAGCCUUUCUUUUAUUAUACUAAUCAACAUUGUUGGGAAAAUGGACAAAAUAAGAAAAACUCGCAUGGGAAAAGUCAGCAAGAAUAUAUUAAACAAGGUAGGCACAUAUAUAUGCAUAGUGUUUGGUCAACAGUAGACAGUAGUAUAUAUUAUAUUAUUAUUAAAUAAACGUCGUAGUCGAUCAUAGUGUGGUAGCGGGUAUUCCAUUCCUUCCUAUAUAAAGAUGAAAGGUUUCGCAGAGAGAACAUCAAAACAAUCAACUAAGAAAAACAUAUCACACAAUAUGGCAUUCAAAGGUUAUUUCCUUCUCGGCCUCAUAGCUCUUGUUAUUGUUAGGUCUUCCAAAGUUAUAUGCGAAGAAGCAGCUAAUACAGUUUCACCUAUUAUUGACAUUUCACUCAGUCGGAAGAGCUUCCCAGAAGGGUUCAUAUUUGGGGCGGGAUCUUCCUCUUACCAGUUCGAAGGGGCAGCAAAGGAAGGUGGUAGAGGACCAAGCGUAUGGGAUACCUUCACCCAUAAUUAUCCAGGAAAGAUCAUGGAUAGAAGCAAUGGAGACGUGGCAAUUGACUCAUAUCACAACUACAAGAAAGAUGUUGGGAUGAUGAAGGAUAUGAAUUUGGAUUCAUAUAGAUUUUCCAUUUCUUGGUCAAGAAUUCUCCCAAGUAAGUUAAUUUGCUUACAAUAAAUCACUAAUUUGAACUAAAUUUUGUCUAGUUGGAUGUUACCCAUUAACCAUUUUUUAAUUAAACUAUGUACCCGCAGAAGGAAAGCGAAGUGGAGGCAUAAAUCAAGAAGGAAUCAACUAUUACAACAACCUUAUCAACGAACUAGUGGCUAAUGGUUAGAAUUUAAUUAAACUCAAUUGAUUCAACUUCAACGUACUUCGACUUUAAUCUUUUAAUAUUUCCUUAUUGUUGAGAAUCAUAAUUAAUAAAAUAUUAAUAUUUAUAGGUAUACAACCACUUGUGACUCUCUUUCAUUGGGAUCUUCCCCAAGCAUUAGAAGACGAGUAUGGUGGCUUUUUAAGUCCGCGCAUAGUGUAAGUUUCAAUUCUAAUACAUAGCUUAUUUGUGUGCUAAGCUUAUUUAACAUCUGGGUAUGAAUAUAAUUUUUCGGACAAACAUAUGCUGAUCUCCAGGAAUGAUUUUCGAGACUAUGCGGAACUUUGCUUCAGGGAAUUUGGUGAUAGGGUGAAGUAUUGGGUUACAUUGAAUGAGCCAUGGAGUUACAGCCAAAAUGGCUACGCAAAUGGACGAAUGGCACCAGGUCGUUGUUCUGCAUGGAUGAAUCUGAAUUGCACUGGUGGUGACUCUUCAACGGAGCCUUAUUUGGUUACACAUCACCAACUUCUUGCUCAUGCAGCAACUGCUCGUGUGUACAAGACCAAGUAUCAGGUUAGUUAAUUUGUUCUUAACCUUUUAGAUAUGUUAUGGGUGUACAUUUCCAUAUUAAAUUUCACAUUGAUCAAUGAAUUAGGAAAAAAGAAAUUACUCAGAGAUUGUUUAAUAUUUCUGUUUUAUAGACUAAAUAUUUAAAUACAAUGUAUGCAGGCAUCUCAAAAUGGUGUGAUAGGCAUAACCUUGGUAGCUAAUUGGUUUUUGCCGCUCAGAGAUACCAAAUCUGAUCAAAAGGCUACAGAAAGAGCAAUUGAUUUCAUGUAUGGAUGGUAAGAAUUCCUCUUUCCUUUUAUGUAACUUUGGUUUCUUCAAAAUACAUAGGCAUUUAUUGCACUAAAAUAGUCAAAUUAUAAAUACAAUUGACAAGUAGUAUUAAUUUAUCAUACUAUACCUUGAUAUAAUAAGGAUUCACAAUCCUUAGCUUUUGAAGGCUUCUACGCAUUUCUCAAACAAUAAAUGGAAGGCCUUUAGGGAUAUAUAUAUGAACAAAUAAUUUAUUUUAAGAAUAAUUCUUUUAAAAUUAUUUCUUAUUUUUAUCAUUCAUUUUCUUAAAAUCUAGUGAUUGAUUAGAUUUUAAAAAAUUAAAUAGUUACUUUUAUAGUAAUUAUAAAAAAGUUAUAUAUAUAUAUAUAUAUAUAUAUAUAUAUAUAUAUGAUGUUUACAAUGCAUGACUUGUUAAACAAAAAAGUUGAAUUCACAAUUAUUUUUUAUUUAUUUCAGGUUUAUGGAUCCAUUAACAUCUGGAGACUAUCCAAAAAGCAUGAGAUCACUUGUGAGGACACGAUUGCCAAAAUUUACUGUAGAACAAUCCAAACUACUUAUUGGUUCAUUUGAUUUUAUUGGCCUAAACUAUUACUCUACAACAUAUGCCUCUGAUGCACCUCAGCUAAGCAAUGCUAGGCCUAGCUACUUAACAGAUUCUCUUGUCACUCCUGCAUGUAAGGACUUCAAUCCUCUGUCAUUCUAUCAAUUCCCAAAAUUACAUCUAUAGACAAUUGAAUAUGAUCAUGGAUGAUAAUGGUUUGUAUUUUAUGUUAUUGACUUAUUGCAGAUGAACGUGAUGGAAAACCUAUAGGAAUAAAGGUACGUGUAUACGCACCCAAACAUGCAAAUACUCUAUUGGUUCUAACUUCUAAUUCUGAUAAAAUAUACAACUAACUUUUUUUUUUAUUUUUAAAUUAAGCAGAUUGCUUCAGACUGGUUAUACGUUUAUCCAAGAGGAAUUAGUGAUCUUUUAUUGUAUACCAAGGAAAAGUACAAUAAUCCUUUGAUUUACAUCACUGAAAAUGGUAAGCAAUACUCGUCUAUAUGUAGUUAAUUUUCUUCAAUGCAAUGUUGUAUACUAUUAUUCAUGAUUUUUCAAUUUUCGUAACUUAUUAAAAUUUUUUCCUAACUUAUAUCUUACAAAUUUAUAGGUAUAAAUGAAUAUGAUGAACCAACGCUAUCACUUGAAGAAUCUCUUAUAGAUACCUUCAGAAUUGAUUAUCAUUAUCGUCAUCUCUUUUAUCUUCAAUCAGC
rnacentral:lncRNA from 1 species